CCCCUAGAUGUUCUGGGCCGCACGCGCGCUACACUGAACAGUUCAACAAGUCUUAACCUUGGCCGAUAGGUCUGGGUAAUCUUUGAACGCUGUUCGUGACUGGGAUAGACCUUUGCAAUUAUGGGUCUUCAACGAGGAAUUCCUAGUAAACGCAAGUCAUCAGCUUGCAUUGAUUACGUCCCUGCCCUUUGUACACACCGCCCGUCGCUCCUACCGAUUGAAUGGUCCGGUGAAGCGUUCGGACCGUGGCCUUUGGACGGUUCGCCGUCUGUUGGCUGCGGGAAGUUCGUUAAACCUUAUCAUUUAGAGGAAGGAGAAGUCGUAACA
rnacentral:rRNA from 1 species